rnacentral:rRNA from 2 species
UGGGGAAUUUUGCACAAUGGGGGAAACCCUGAUGCAGCGACGCCGCGUGAUUUAGAAGGCCUUCGGGUUGUAAAAAUCUUUUUUAUGGGAUGAAAAUGACAGUACCAUAAGAAUAAGGUCCGGCUAAAUACGUGCCAGCAGCCGCGGUAAUACGUAUGGACCGAGCGUUGUCCGGAAUCAUUGGGCGUAAAGGGUACGUAGGCGGCCCAGUAAGUUAGAAGUGAAAUCCUGUAGCUCAACUACAGUAAGCUUUUAAAACUGCUCAUCUUGAGAUAUGGAAGGGAAAGUGGAAUUCCUAGUGUAGCGGUGAAAUGCGCAGAUAUUAGGAGGAAUACCGGUGGCGAAGGCGACUUUCUGGCCAUAAUCUGACGCUGAGGUACGAAAGCGUGGGUAGCAAACAGG